GGUCGGUUUGCCGAGUGGCUAGGCGCUGGUCUGCAAAACCAGUUACAGCGGGUCGAAUCCGCUACCGACCU
rnacentral:tRNA from 1 species